rnacentral:lncRNA from 1 species
UCCCUGUUCUGUGGCGGCGUGCGCUGUCUUGUCAUAUUAAGCUGUUGAAUAUUAAGCUGUUGAGAGGUCCUUGGCUGUUGUCAACGGGAGGUAUGCUGUGCGGACAUCAAGAGACCUAAAUCCAAUGUCGUCUUCUCCGUGAUCCACUGCGGAUCUCGAAUCCCUCUGGACAAUGUGCCGUUUCCAGUUGUCAAGGGAACCGUCAAAGUAUGCAUAUCUGGAAUGGAAUACUAGCAGAAGACACAGGAGAAAAAGAAGACCAAAUAUGUUACAUCGUGAUGCACUUGCAAACGUUUCAAUCUCAUUCAGAUAUGCAGUAGCCUUCCAGUUCAAAGAUUGUGUGCAGGCAGUGUAAGGUGCAUACUUUGCGGCAGCUGUAUUUAACGUAUUUUCCCUUAUACAUAUGCCCCUUUUCGGGCCCUUAGGGUAUUUCUAGCCAAUGAAUACAUUUAGGAAAAGCCCAAGAGCAUUAUGACUGUGAACGAGACACAUAGCCGGGGGUUGCUGCACACCGAAAUGUUCAGUUUUGCUGGGACCUCUUCUACCUUCUCUCACACCUUUGACGUUUUGCCAUGCCUUCCCCCCAUCAGUAGUUGCGAGCGAAAGAAAAUCAUGGCUACAUCCCUGGUGUGAACUAUAAAAACAUGGGCUUGUUUUUUUGCACUUAUCAAAGCCGACCUGUGUGUCUGUUAACAUGCAAAAACACCAGAAAUAAAUAUUCUUUAUUUCAUUUACAGCA